rnacentral:piRNA from 1 species
GUCUCUCCAUCACAGUGACUUGUUAAAGC